rnacentral:rRNA from 1 species
GGUGGAAAGAUUUAUCGGUGCRGGAUGGGCCCGCGGCCUAUCAGCUUGUUGGUGGGGUAAUGGCCUACCAAGGCGACGACGGGUAGCCGACCUGAGAGGGUGACCGGCCACACUGGGACUGAGACACGGCCCAGACUCCUACGGGAGGCAGCAGUGGGGAAUAUUGCACAAUGGGCGAAAGCCUGAUGCAGCGACGCCGCGUGAGGGAUGACGGCCUUCGGGUUGUAAACCUCUUUCAGCAGGGACGAAGCGCAAGUGACGGUACCUGCAGAAGAAGCACCGGCUAACUACGUGCCAGCAGCCGCGGUAAUACGUAGGGUGCAAGCGUUGUCCGGAAUUACUGGGCGUAAAGAGUUCGUAGGCGGUUUGUCGCGUCGUUUGUGAAAACCAGCAGCUCAACUGCUGGCUUGCAGGCGAUACGGGCAGACUUGAGUACUGCAGGGGAGACUGGAAUUCCUGGUGUAGCGGUGAAAUGCGCAGAUAUCAGGAGGAACACCGGUGGCGAAGGCGGGUCUCUGGGCAGUAACUGACGCUGAGGAACGAAAGCGUGGGUAGCGAACAGGAUUAGAUACCCUGGUAGUCCACGCCGUAAACGGUGGGCGCUAGGUGUGGGUUCCUUCCACGGAAUCCGUGCCGUAGCUAACGCAU